UAAAAUGUUAGGCGGCCGAAAAAGAAAAAGAAAAAAGACAGAAAAAUUCCCGCUUUUCAUAUUGCCCUUGAAAUUGAAGGUUAGGGGGCCGAAAGUGCCUCCGAACCUGGAAUUUUUGGGCUUCCCCUCCCCUUUUUUUUUGUUUUAAAAAAAAAUAUCAAACAAUUUUGACAUGCAAAAAAAAUAUACACUCAACAACCACCAUCUAGCAUUCCCAAUUCCCUUUUAAUGAAGUUAAAUCUUUCUUCAUUUAAAGGUUUAGUGAAAAUAUCAGCUAGUUGGUUGU
rnacentral:lncRNA from 1 species